rnacentral:rRNA from 1 species
GAUGAACGCUGGCGGCGUGCCUAAUACAUGCAAGUCGAACGCUGGAAAUCUAGCUUGCUAGAUUGAAGGAGUGGCGAACGGGUGAGUAAUACAUAAGCAACCUACCCACGAAGACUGGGAUAAUCUCUGGAAACGGGGACUAAUACCGGAUAGGUAAUCGGAAGGCAUCUUCUGAUUAUUAAAGGUUACAAUCACUGGUGGAUGGGCUUAUGGCGCAUUAGGUAGUUGGUGAGGUAACGGCCCACCAAGACGAUGAUGCGUAGCCGGCCUGAGAGGGUGAACAGCCACAUUGGGACUGAGACACGGCCCAGACGCCUACGGGAGGCAGCAGUAGGGAAGUUUCGGCAAUGGGGGAAACCCUGACCGGGCAACGCCGCGUGAGUGAUGACGGCCUUCGGGUUGUAAAGCUCUGCUGUAAGGGAAGAACGGUAGAUAGAGAAUAUCUAAAUGACGGUACCUUACCAGAAAGCCACGGCUAACUACGUG